GACGUAGGGCGCGAGCGUUGUCCGGAUUUAUUGGGCGUAAAGAGCUCGUAGGCGGUUUGUCGCGUCUGCUGUGAAAACCCGAGGCUCAACCUCGGGCCUGCAGUGGGUACGGGCAGACUAGAGUGCGGUAGGGGAGAUUGGAAUUCCUGGUGUAGCGGUGGAAUGCGUUGAUAUUCACAGGAACUCCGGUGGCGAAGGCGGCUCGCUGGAUCUUUUCUGACGCUGAGGCGCGAAAGCUAGGGGAGCAAACGGG
rnacentral:rRNA from 1 species